GCCAUCUUAGCUCAGGGGUAGAGCAACGGUUUCGUAAACCGUAGGUCCCGGGUUCAAUUCCCGGAGAUGGCUCCA
rnacentral:tRNA from 1 species